GAAAAUCAAGGGAACUGCAUGCUCAAAUUCUCCUCAGGUAUGUUAUUUAAUAAUCUUUCUGUUGUAGCAUUAUGUGAAUUGUAGGCAAUGAAUUGUGUAUGUUGUGAAAUUUAGUAAAAAUAUAUAUUAUUCAGAUUCUAAUCUUUGGUGUGUGCACUUUCCGAUAAAUUGCAGGAACAAGCACUAAUGUCUGCACUAAAAAGUUCACUUGUACAAAAAUCUCAAGAGUACUCCGCGACAUAUUCAAUAGUCCAAAAGUUUAUAUAUACUAAAUAGAUUUCAAAAGCAGAGUAUAUUCCUAAUAACUUCUUGAGCGUCCUCUUUUUUGCCCUUAGAAUUGUGAUUUAUAAUUGAAUGAAUAAUUUUUACUGAUAGUUUAUUAUAUUAGCUUUUAUCUCAAAAACUUAAUUUAUAUGGACUAUGUAAUUCUAUAUCUGUUCUUUUCCAGUUUCUCAUUUAUGGAAACAAUUUUAUAGGAUGGUUAAGAUUUGAGGAAUGAAAUGAUGCAAUGUGGGAACAUGUUGAUUCUAGAGUUAGGAAGAGCAGUACAAACCGUCCCAUGAUGCUCGUGAGCGAAAGCGAAGAUUUGCUAAAGGAAUUUGAGCAAGCUGCUACUCGUGGAGGAAAUGAAAGCAACAACUGUUGUACUUCAAUCUUCAGGCGCAGGGCUGAAACUUAAACUAUUCAUACAUCAAAAAUUACAAAGGGAAAGUCUUCUUAACUACCUACAGUUAAGAUUUCGUUCUUUACCCUGCCUUUUGAAUUAAUAUUGAUUGAAACUAAACACAACAAUUCUGUCUGUGAAAGUGAAAGAGAAGUAGUAGGUCAGAUCUGAC
rnacentral:lncRNA from 1 species